CGAAAUUCUUAAAGAUUUAAAGAUCGGCCCGUGUGUUUUCAUUUUGUGCUGGGCCUGCAAAUUAGGUAACCAGCUAUGCCUCCAGGGAUAAGAAGCUUCUAGGACAGUUCUGUGAGGACAGCUUAUUUCAGCGUCCCAGAGGAAACACACUGGGGGAAUUUAGACCUUAAGUAAAGGAGAAGACUUGUGAAACUGGCAAAUACAGGCAGCUCUUGUGAUGACAAAGACUUCCCCAAGGCUUCUUCUCACCAGUUAAUGGAGACUCAGUGGAUGCAAAGCUUACAACUAUGAAAACAAUACCUGUCUGACCUGGUAAACAGAUCAAUAGAACUGUAGGGCCCCCACAAGAUAUAGCUGAUUCCCAACCCCCGAAUCUGUGAAGGUGACUUUAUUUGGAAGAGAGUCUUUGAAGAUAUAAAUGAGGACCUCAAGAUGAGAUGUUCCUGGAUUUAAGGUCUAAUCCCACAGAGCCACCAAGCACAGCUUUAAUCAUCUGCAUUCUAAGAAGAUGUCUCCAGCUCCUGCCUGUGCUGGGGUCUGGCAUCCAACCGCUCAAGAUCUCCUUUACGAUUCCGUCUCCACUACUGAGGAC
ensembl:lncRNA